GUUUUCGUCUUCUACAUCUGCAUCAGUUAUAUUCAGCUCCUUCUCUAAAAACUCAACGAAUUCUUCUCCAAUUUCAGCUAAUUCUUCCCAUAAACUCUUUGGUUUUCCGGUGGAAGCAACAUUUGCCUCCCAAUUCCGAAAUUCUUCUUGGAGAUCCUUAAAGAAGUCCGCAAAGCUAUAAAAGUCUUCUUCAUCUGCAGCACUUCUAUUUCGUUCUGCUCCAUUAUAAUAUGAAUAACUUGAGGUGUCACUUCUUGAAUCAUAUCG
rnacentral:misc_RNA from 1 species